CACAGCGUUUAAUCUGUGCUUCACCCAUCAUCUCUGAGCUUGAAGCCAAACAGAGCUGGGCUCAGUUCGUACUUGGAUGGGAGACCACUUGAAAAUAUCAAAUGCUAUUC
rnacentral:rRNA from 1 species